UAUCAGUUAAAUCAUCUGCUCCCUUGGUAUCUCUCAUAUGUUCUUGACUUUAUGGUUAGUGAAUUUGAUCUUUACUGGCAUUUUCAUGAAGGAAGCGGGUGAGAACUUGAAAGAACCCAAACCUAUUGUUUUUUAAGAUAAAAAUUUUUAAUCUAGAGAAGGAAUUAACUCCCUUGAAUUUGGUAUGUUUGUGUGUGUGUGUGUUUGUGUCUUAUUUUUUCCCUGUUGUUCUCACUUCUCUUUUUUAUUUUGCUUUAUUUGGAGAUUUUUCCAUUUGGACUUGAAGUAAACCCAACAAUGUACAGAAGGAUAAACGAUUUAAGGAUGUUGGGGAAAAGAUUGCAACCUCAUUGAACUCUACUGAUUGUUUUGUCCUGCAAUCCGGCUCUUCUGUUUUCUCUUGCCAUGGAAACCAAAGUACAUUCGAGCAGCAACAGUUUGCUGACAAAAGUUGCAGAGUUUCUAAGGUGGUCAGAUAAAGAUGCCUAUAACCAGACACUGUUGAAGUUGGGGG